rnacentral:lncRNA from 12 species
GGAAAUAUGGGAUGCGUCCAUGCAGACAGAAGACCCCCGCCUUGUCAGGGCCUUUGGUGAGGCCUAAGAAAAAUGUGGGUGCCUCAUCCACACUGACAGGAUUCUCCAGCCUCCUCAGGACCCACUGUGAAGGUUUGGGAAGAUUUGGGGCCACAUCUAUGCUGACAGGAGCCCCAGCCUCCUCAGGUCUUAUGGUGAGGCUUGAGGAAAAUGUGGGCCACCUCAACACUGACAGGACCCCCGUCCUCCUCAGGACCUGCACUAAAGCUUCAGGAAAUAUGGGGCUGCGUCUAUGCUGACAGGAGCCCACAGCCUCCUCAGGAUCCGCGGUGAGUUUUCAGGGGACGUGGGGCCAUGUCCAGGCUGAUAGGAGCCCCCGGGCACCUGAGGACUUUCUGUGAGUCUUCCAGAGGAUGUGAGGCAUAGUCCACAGUGACAGGAGACCCGCCGUCCUUAGGACCCGCUGACCAUGAAUCAGGAACACGUGGGGCCACGUCCGCACUCACAGGAGCCGUGCUUCCUCAGGCCCCCCUGGAGGACUCUGGAGGCGUUGUUGGGGGUCACGUCCACAUCAGAAGGGACUACUCAGAACCACAGGGACCCCCUGGAGGACUCUGGAUGCGCCGUUGGGGGCCACGUCCAUAUCAGAACGGACUCCUCUGAACCACAGGGGGCCUGGGAUGGAUGGACCUGUUCGAACCCUGAACUUAAAGAGGAAAGACCUUCAUUUUCUUGGCCUCCUUGCGUCCCCUCCCAUCCUAUCUAGCUCUUUCCCCCUUCCCCAGAGCUCCUAAGAGAGCAAUUGCAAAAGACCUCAGCUUGGCAGGGUCUGUUGGGGGACAGGCCCAGGGAUUUGGGAUCAGGAAGACCUGAGGCACGGGCUUCCCAGCUGUGCAGCGGGAUUCCAUGCUGCAGACUCUUAUUCCCUAAGGCUAUCUUCACAACUGACUUUAUACAUAGAAAAGCUCUCCUUUAUCUUUAAAAGAUGAAGAGCCAGUCAAAGCCUUUUUUCUCUGCCCAUCUGAUUGCUCAGAUUCCAAUGUGAGACGUAUUUCCUGUUAAUAAGGAUAAUUUACUAUCCGUAGUACUAUGGUUAAAAUAUUCUGACACAAGUAAUUCAGAGGGAUGAGAGUUUCUCAUCUCUUUCUUCACAGCUCAGUCACUCCUCAGGAAAUGCAUCGUUAUGGAUUUGGAAAUAACUGAGAGACAUUAUUACCAGUGGUCCUAUUAUUAUGUGAAGGAUGCUUCCCUGAGAUUCUUCCCCUGUUUCAACUGACACUGAAACACUUUGAACUCUUUGGAAGACAAAUGUCAAGGAAAUAAAUGUUAUGCGCUGCUAAUUUUAAAUGCA